UUGAAGGUUAAUUAUAUUAAAUCUCUUCUUCCUCGCGUUUCCGGCAUAUUCCCACGGCUCAUGAGAACCUGGGGUCCGCUUGACAACUAAUCCCUAGAUUUGGCGUAGGCACUAGUUUUUACGAAAGCGACUGCCAUCGGAUCGAAAAGCGACUGGUGCACACCAGAGCCAUGCACCUUUACAUGCCAGGAUACCUCUCUCGACAUCGAGCACUGAAAAUGCUUUGGUACCAGCGAGACGCGGAUCUAGUGAUACUCUAGUUCUUACUCUAGCACCACCUAUAUUCUGUCAACUCCAUCUUGUGAGAGGGACGAGAUCGCGGCGACGACGUCGCGGAGCUCGUGCCACUCAGUAUCCUGCAGGAGGACACUGGCUUCUAUGAGUACAUGUUUAAA